CAUAUACUCCCUCCGUCCAGAAAUACUUAUCAUAAAAAUGGAUGCAUUUUAAUGUAUUUUAGUUAUAGAUAUAUUCUUUUUUAUCAAUUUUUACGAUUAGUAAUUCCGGACGGAGGAAAUAGAUA
rnacentral:pre_miRNA from 1 species